rnacentral:rRNA from 1 species
UACAGAGGGUGCAAGCGUUAAUCGGAAUUACUGGGCGUAAAGCGUGCGUAGGCGGUUACGUAAGUCAGAUGUGAAAGCCCCGGGCUCAACCUGGGAAUUGCAUUUGAGACUGCGUAGCUAGGGUGCGGAAGAGGGAAGCGGAAUUUCCGGUGUAGCGGUGAAAUGCGUAGAUAUCGGAAGGAACACCAGUGGCGAAAGCGGCUUCCUGGUCCAGCACCGACGUUCAGGCACGAAAGCGUGGGGAGCAAACAGG